rnacentral:rRNA from 1 species
GACGAACGCUGGCGGCGUGCUUAACACAUGCAAGUCGAACGGAAGGGCAGUAUUAGCGUUCCUCUAGGGGCGGAGGGGGGCGUAACAGGUGGGUAACCUGCCCUUUACUUCUUUUUAACGUCAGGAAACUGGGGCUACUACCGGUAAUGAAUCCUUCCUCCAUGGUGGGGGUUGGAAAGCUUCUGCGGUUUUGCAUGGACUGGCGGCUUAUCGGCUUGUUGGUUGGGUGGUGGCUUACCAAGGCUUUGACGGGUAGCCGGACUGAGAGAGUGAGCGGCCAUACUGGCACUGAGAGACGGCCCAGACUCCGACGGGUGGAAGAAGGGGGGAAUAUUGCACCAGGGGCGGCGGCCUGAUGCAGAAGCGCCGCGGGCGGGAUGACGGCCUUCGGGUUGUAGACCGCUAGCAGCAGGGGCCAAGCUUGUGGUGACGGUACCUGAAGAAGAAGCACCGGCUAACUACGUG